GGUGGAUUAUUAUGGCUCAGAGGUAGAGCAUCUGUUUUGAAUUCAGAAGGUCCCAGGUUCAAUCCCUGGUACCUUCA